rnacentral:lncRNA from 1 species
UGGAAUUCGUUGUAAAUACUGCUGGUUUUGUCUCAGCUCAUGAAGACAAUAUAGAAACAUACUGCAGGAAAGCACAUGUCCUUUCAUUUUUAAGUUAUUUAGGGCAGCUUAAAAUUCGUGACUUGAAAAGACUUGAAAGUUUGUGUUCUGUUUUAAGAGAACAUGAACCUUUGACUUUUCUUUCUGGAAGAAACAAAAGAUGGAAAAAUCUUAUUUAAAUCUUCACCACAGGUUUACUUACUUUGGAGCCUUCUGCAUUUUUGGCCUAUUUGGUAAUCCUCAUGUUUGAGUCACCUGAAGGCAUCAAGAGCUCACCACCUCCAAAAGCACACGGCCUGGACAGCCACUCCCUGAAGCAAAUCUGCCAUGUAUCCAUAUAUUCAUGCGGUACUGGGAGAAACAGUUGGAUAGGGGCAUGGUGUUUGUCUUCACAAAGCUCACAGGACUGAGAUGAUGACGUAAGGAAGUAGUCACAAGGCAGUAUGGAUAGCAGGCAAGAACUGGGGUCCCGGGGCCGCACUGCCUGGAUUCCAAGCCUGAUUUUGCAUGCAUGACUUGAGACUUCAGGGGCAAGUCCAGCCAGUCAGCAAGCCACCUGAAUUUACAGGAGUGACAUUUCCACGUUAUUCAAAUUCAAAACAAGCCUACUCGGUGAACCUCAGCCCCAAGGAAUUCACAGUGCUCUACAUCGACUCCCAAUUUGCAAUUCUAGCAUCUCACUGAGACCAGGCAGUACAGAAAGAGACCUUGUGUUUUGUGACAAGUUCUUCUUUCAAGUCUUCAUGCUCAAAGAGAAUUGACUACAGAGUGUCAGGUGUCCUUCAGCUGAGAUUUAACAAGCAGUAAUAAUCAUCAGCCGA